GUGCCAGCAGCCGCGGUAAUACGUAGGGUGCGAGCGUUGUCCGGAAUUACUGGGCGUAAAGGGCUCGUAGGUGGUUUGUCGCGUCGUCUGUGAAAUUCCGGGGCUUAACUCCGGGCGUGCAGGCGAUACGGGCAUAACUUGAGUACUGUAGGGGUAACUGGAAUUCCUGGUGUAGCGGUGAAAUGCGCAGAUAUCAGGAGGAACACCGAUGGCGAAGGCAGGUUACUGGGCAGUUACUGACGCUGAGGAGCGAAAGCAUGGGUAGCGAACAGGAUUAGAUACCCUGGUAGUCCAUGCCGUAAACGGUGGGCGCUAGGUGUGAGUCCCUUCCACGGGGUUCGUGCCGUAGCUAACGCAUUAAGCGCCCCGCCUGGGGAGUACGGCCGCAAGGCUAAAACUCAAAGGAAUUGACGGGGGCCCGCACAAGCGGCGGAGCAUGUGGAUUAAUUCGAUGCAACGCGAAGAACCUUACCUGGGCUUGACAUACACCAGAUCGCCGUAGAGAUACGGUUUCCCUUUGUGGUUGGUGUACAGGUGGUGCAUGGUUGUCGUCAGCUCGUGUCGUGAGAUGUUGGGUUAAGUCCCGCAACGAGCGCAACCCUUGUCUUAUGUUGCCAGCAAUUCGGUUGGGGACUCGUGAGAGACUGCCGGGGUUAACUCGGAGGAAGGUGGGGAUGACGUCAAAUCAUCAUGCCCCUUAUGUCCAGGGCUUCACACAUGCUACAAUGGUCGGUACAACGCGUUUGCGAGCCUGUGAGGGUGAGCUAAUCGCUGAAAGCCGGUCGUAGUUCGGAUUGGGGUCUGCAACUCGACCCCAUGAAGUCGGAGUCGCUAGUAAUCGCAGAUCAGCAACGCUGCGGUGAAUACGUUCCCGGGCCUUGUACACACCGCCCGUCACGUCAUGAAAGUUGGUAACACCCGAAGCCGGUGGCCCAAACUUGUUAGGGAGCCGUCGAAGGUGGGAUCGGCGAUUGGGACGAAGUCGUAACAAGGUA
rnacentral:rRNA from 1 species